CAAAGGCAAAGACAUGGGUUAACUGGCUCCUGCAGGAAGCCUGGUUUCAUUCAUUAACAGAGACAUACGGGAGAACGGCUUGAGACACUUCUGAGCACAAGUUCACAGAGAGCUGAUCUCCUGUUUCCCAUCACAGCUGUAUCAAAGGGAUUGAGACAGGAAGAAUAAGAGGGAAAGAAGAAGAAAUGACAAAGUACCUCGCCGUAGAGCUGAGUCGAGCUGCUAAAUUCAUCACAGAGCUGCAAACAGCGUGUCUCCCUGGGAUAAAAUGAACUGACAACCUGCCCUAAAGAUCAGCCAGUUAAAACACAUUGAAACGCCAGUGCCACCGGCGGACACGGAUGGCUGGAGAGCUCGGGAGAGAGCAUCACGGUCGCUCGACGCUCCUCCGCGCGGCCACUUCCUUGGCGUCCGGGAAUCGCACCUUACGGCUACACGUCGGCGCCGGAUUCACCGCCUUGCAGACGAGGAACCCCCCUCUCCUUCCUCCCCGCCUCAGCCCCCG